AGCAGCCGCGGUAAUUCCAGCUCCAAUAGCGUAUAUUAAAGUUGUUGCAGUUAAAAAGCUCGUAGUUGAAUUUUGGAUUCUUCCAAUUGGUCCAUCUUUUAGAUGAGUACUGGUUGUGUGGGGUCUAUCCGCCUGGUGAUACGUAAUGUCCUUUAUUGGAUGUUGCGGGUAGUCAGGACCUUUACCUUGAAAAAAUUAGAGUGUUUAAAGCAGGCUUAUGCCGGAAUACAUUAGCAUGGAAUAAUAGAAUAGGACGAAGUUGUUUUAUUUUGUUGGUUUCUAGGACAACCGUAAUGAUUAAUAGGGAUAGUUGGGGGCAUUAGUAUUCAAUUGUCAGAGGUGAAGUUCUUGGAUUUAUUGAAGACUAACUACUGCGAAAGCAUUUGCCAAGGAUGUUUUCAUUAAUCAAGAACGAAAGUUAGGGGAUCGAAGACGAUCAGAUACCGUCGUAGUCUUAACCAUAAACUAUGCCGACUAGGGAUCGGGCGAUGUUGUUUCCAUGACUCGCUCGGCACCUUAU
rnacentral:misc_RNA from 1 species